UAUAUAGAACAGGUUUAUUGUAAUGAAAAACGCGAUAACACAAACUGCUAGUGUUCAGGACUAAAUAUUUAUUGCUUCAUUCUUGAGCCGUCAAGGUUACACAAUAUAAGAAAAGGAAAUCUCGGGAAUGGGAUUCGAGCUUAAAGACAAAGUAAGAUAAAGAAGUCAAAAACGAGUGCAUCAUCAACCUGAUUUACUAAAAAAAAAGAAUGGCGACGAUUCUGAUUUUACUGUUAGUUCGUGCAAUAAUGACCAAUGGUGAACAGUUCAUCUGGACAUCUCCUAGUGAUAAUGGCUGUGUGAAUGGCAAGGAAGGUGAAGAUAUCUCGUUACUAUGGGAAUAUCAAGCAGACUCGUCGUCAAGGUUAAUUCUGAUUAAAACAGAGGAUGUAGUAAUUGGCCAAUGGAUCGAGAAACAUAACAACUUCACAACAUAUUCUGUUUUUCAAGGAAGAGUCACUUUCAAAAGAACGGUCAUCAAACAAGAUCAUCCAGGAAUUUACGGAGAAAAGAUUGAGUUGAAUUUGAUGAAGGCACAUAGAAAUGAUUUAAAUGUACCGUACACCUGUCAACUCAUCCUUAAAGACGCAAAAGUUAAACAGAAGGACAUCAGAGUAGAUUGUCCAGAUUCGUCAGAUGUAGGAACAGCUCGACCUAACAGCCAUUUGUUUCGUAUGCUUCCUGCCAUUGUAAGUGUUGUGGUGUUCCUCCUCGUUCUGUUUGGCGUUGCCGUCGCGUGCUUCUUGAGGCGACGCAGAAGUGACGUGUCUAGAUUCAUGAGACUUGAUCAGGAAAAUGUGGAGAUGAUGUACAACAACCAAAGCAACAAUGAGGGGCAAGAAGGGUGACCAAAGUGUGAGGUUGAUUUAAUUGAUUGCUUUCAAACAUCAUGAAAACUAACAUCGCUUAAUUAUUUUUAUGUUAAAUUUUUGUAUGAUAAUAAUAAUGACUUUAUUUUCUGUUAUAUACUACUCAAAAUAUAGAGCAACUAUAAGGUAACAAUAUUUAAAAGUGUAUACUUUAUCUAACAUACUGAUUUUUUUAAACUGGACAUAUUUUUUAUUUAUAUAACUAAAUAAUUAUACUGUAUUGAUUUUUUUUAACUGGACAUAUUUUUUAUUUAGUUUUAUUGACUGUUAAAUCGAGGAACGUAUUUUUUUAAUCAAAUGGUUUUCCAUUAGUUUUCUUUUUGUCCAUACUAAACUUAAGCUGUCUGUCUACAGUUAGCUUCGCCCGAGAACAGACACUAAGCUAGUUGACCGACAUUUUAAGUACUAAAUCGACGAUUUUAGUCGAAAACACGAAGUAUACUUCGGGAACUUUGUUGAAUUGAAAGAAGUUUAUUUAGUCUUUGUGUGUAUGACAGAAGUAAAACGGAGUAUAACCGCAUUACAAAACAAUAUACUAAUUUUUGGAUAUGGCGGCCAUUUAGGACAGAGAUCUAUUCUCGAGGAAUGAAGUAGAUGGAUAUCUGUGUACAGAAUGCUUUUUUGUCAUGUCAUUGACUUUCAUUUUCUUUGUUGGUGUUGUGCAGGGUUAAAUAUGUGUCUAUUUACAGACAAAGGCCCAUUUUCAACGUUACAAACCCCAUCGAUGGUUGCGUACUCUAUCCCUUAAGUUUCGAUUCCCCGGUUGUACGUGACAAGUAGUAGAGUCGCCUGUCCAACCUCAUGGGUUUUCUCCGGGUCCGUCGGUUUCCUCCCACUGCUAAAGGACAUUGCUGAAAAUCAGUAACUGUUUUUCUAAUUAAUUGGCAGUACUCCAAGUCUUGUAGGUAAAGAUUAUUGAAAAACCCAAGGACCCGGUCCCUUAUCACAACCAUCAAUAUUUAAAAUCACAGUUACAUAGCUAUGAUCACUUAGACCAGUGUGAGAUAUGAAAUGAAAUGAAAUGGGGUUUAACGUCCUACUGUUAUGCUCCUAAACUGGACUAAUGAAGACGGGCAUACGCCAUGUAGUGUGCUAUGAGGACAAUUUUGCCCGGGCAGCGGCGCUACGGCCUACUCUUAUAUCGAAUUCCAACUGCCAAGGGAUCUUUUACGUACACGCUAAUAUGUACACGGGACCUCGGUUUUUCGUCCCAUCCGAACGACUAGACAGCUGCCCUUGUCCAGUGUGAGAUGUAAAUGUAUUAUGUACAAUAAGAUAAUAAACACUUACUCAGAAAUACAAACUCAAUCCGCGAUUGUUUGAGGUCACCUUGAACAAACUGGCGUCUGGUAAAUACUUGUUUCUCGGGAUUCUUCCUCCUCCAAAUAUCAAACAGAUUAUUAUCACAAGUAAAAGUUGACAGCAAUUUGUUUGUCAGAUUGAAAGCAGACAUGUUACUAGACCGGCCAAGAUGCAGUUCCAUCACAUCAUUGAAGUCUUCACACACUAAAACAUUUUCAGAUGAUAAUAUCAUGGUUAAAACUUUGUCAUAAAACGAUUUCCUGUCCUGUUGAUUGUUUGGUGAAUAAACACACAAUAAAUCAAAUACUACGCCAUUUUCAUUUAUCUGGCGAGACGACCGCCAUCAUCACUGGAAACAAACUGACAUUUUGGUACAAAAUGUUUAGAAAUAAAUAUUGCACGUCCUUUAAAGCCGUUAUUCGAAAUCGAAUAAAAAACGUCGCCAUCCCAAAAUGUUUAUAAGUAUCAAUAAACACGUAAUCCCAAUGUGUCUCUUGUACACAAAUACGCCAGUUCGCAACAAAAUUUUGAUAUUUCGAAAAACUUCUGAGACCAUUGACGUUUAUAGUUGCUAUCUUUACCAUUGAGAUCACUAAUAGUAAAUUAGAAAACGGGAACAUUUUUACGCGACGAUUUUGAACGUGUACCUUUCAUCACUGAUUCUGAUAUUAUAUCAACAAAAACAGAAAUGAAAUGAAAUGGGGUUUAACGUCCUACUGUCCUGCUCCGAACUGGGCUAAUGAAGCCGGGCAUACGCCAUACAGUGUGCUAUGAGGGAAAUUUUGCCCGGACAGCGGCACUACGGCCUACUCUUAUAUCGAAUUGGAUGGCCGAAUGGUAAGCACGUGCGCGCUGUAUCAUAAGGCCUGUCAUUGAGUCAACUGGCGUGGUUUCGAAUUCCCGGUUGUACCUGACUGCUAAAGACCCCUACGCGCAAGCGAAUUAUUGAAAUAAAAUUAAAACCAUAUGUUAGUCCCGAAAUGACCUAGUUUGUGUCGAGUGAACGUUAAACCCCAUCUCUCUCGCUCUCUUUGAAUAAACGGAACAAAACUGUAUAAAACUA